GGGAUUUUAAUUUAACUGGUAAAAUAAUAGUUUUGCAUACUAUAAAUAUGAGUUCGAUUCUCAUAGAUUCCA
rfam:Yarrowia lipolytica complete mitochondrial genome, strain W29